AGCAAACAGACUCUGAUGUUAAACGUGGGUUGACUUUCACUUCAUUCUCUUUCUCUGUAGCCUGGUUUUGUGAACUUACUGGACUACCCAGAACCGGACGUGUGCCUAAGGACGUCCAAAUUCAAUAAAAUCUAACAGAAUACGUGAUCAUUGGCUGGACAAUCCUGGACUUUGACAGACUGGCGGUUAAGAAAAGACAUGGCUCAGCUGUGUCUGCACAAGAGGAACAUUACCACCCCCUGUUACUAAAUAUGAUUUGUGAAGGAAGCUGAGCCAAGUGCCUCCCGUCCAGGGUUUUCUUCAUCGUCUAGUCCCGUGAAGAAUCAUCAAGACAGUCAGUACGUACUUUGGAGCAUCUCAGGGGAUCUGGUUAUUGUCUGGAACAUUAGAGGAGAGAACAAUAUGAGCCCUCAACAUGAAAGCAGUCUUUGACUUUAACACGAUCAAAUAAAUGAUUCUAAUUAUUCAUUAGAGGAAACAGCUGCCUGCAUUUUAUUUUGUAAGUUUGUCUAAAAGUGGACAACACCC
rnacentral:lncRNA from 1 species